ensembl:lncRNA LINC02451 long intergenic non-protein coding RNA 2451
AACAUUCCUUCAGCAGAGCCACACUCUUAAAGAUUAUAAAUGUUGUCUUCAAAUAAUUGAAUAUUUGAAGGUUUGCUGGCCAAUGCAGGACUGAUUAUAAGUAAUGAUGACACAUCUGUAACUUCUAAAUGGGAAGGUCUUCGAAUGGGAUUGAAAAGACAAAGUGAUGAAAAAAUAAUUGUGAUAAUACAUACUGUUCCAGGUUUUAAACACAUACAGAGGGAAAAUGAGGUGAAGACACAAGGAAAAGACAACCAUCUAUGAGCCAAGGAGAGAGGCCUUAAAAGAAAUCAACCCUGGCAUCUUGAUCUUGGACUUCAAGCCUCCAGAAUGGAGAGGACCUAGCAAAGCCGGGGUUACACAUCAAAAUGGAACAGAAGAAAGCUUAAUUUCAACUCAAGAAACUGGAGAAUUGGCCAGGCGCAGUGGUUCAUGCCUAUAAUCCCAGCACUUUGGAAGGCCAAGGGCAAAUAAGCAGAUUGAUCUCAGGAACCAGAGGUUGCAUGGAUGGCUGGUCCAAUUGAUCCGCCUGUCCUAAUGGAUCAUUGUGUAACAGGGAGGAAAAACAGGAAACUUGAU